ACACUUACCUGGCACUGGCAAUACCAUGAUCAAGGAGGUGGUAUGCCCAAAGCGAGCCAUGGCCGUUGCACUUGGGCUGUGCUGACCUUUGCAAAUUCCCCAAAUGCGGGAAUCUGGACUGCAUAAUUUCUGAUAGUGGGGGACUGCAUUCGCGCUCUCCCCUG